rnacentral:rRNA from 1 species
GKCCUACGGGGGGSWGCAGUAGGGAAUCUUCCGCAAUGGGCGAAAGCCUGACGGAGCAAUGCCGCGUGAGUGAUGAAGGUUUUCGGAUCGUAAAGCUCUGUUGCCAGGGAAGAACGCUUGGGAGAGUAACUGCUCUCAAGGUGACGGUACCUGAGAAGAAAGCCCCGGCUAACUACGUGCCAGCAGCCGCGGUAAUACGUAGGGGGCAAGCGUUGUCCGGAAUUAUUGGGCGUAAAGCGCGCGCAGGCGGUCAUUUAAGUCUGGUGUUUAAUCCCGGGGCUCAACCCCGGAUCGCACUGGAAACUGGGUGACUUGAGUGCAGAAGAGGAGAGUGGAAUUCCACGUGUAGCGGUGAAAUGCGUAGAUAUGUGGAGGAACACCAGUGGCGAAGGCGACUCUCUGGGCUGUAACUGACGCUGAGGCGCGAAAGCGUGGGGAGCAAACAGGAUUAGAUACCCCKRGUAGUCAG